rnacentral:rRNA from 1 species
GCGAAAAGAACCCCGGCGAGGGGAGUGAAAAAGAACCUGAAACCGUGUACGUACAAGCAGUAGGAGCCUCUUUAUGGGGUGACUGCGUACCUUUUGUAUAAUGGGUCAGCGACUUAUAUUCUGUAGCGAGGUUAACCGUAUAGGGGAGCCGUAGGGAAACCGAGUCUUAACUGGGCGAAUGAGUUGCAGGGUAUAGACCCGAAACCCGGUGAUCUAUCCAUGGGCAGGUUGAAGGUUGGGUAACACUAACUGGAGGACCGAACCGACUAAUGUUGAAAAAUUAGCGGAUGACUUGUGGAUGGGGGUGAAAGGCCAAUCAAACCGGGAGAUAGCUGGUUCUCCCCGAAAGCUAUUUAGGUAGCGCCUCGUGAACUCAUCUUCGGGGGUAGAGCACUGUUUCGACUAGGGGGUCAUCCCGACUUACCAACUCGAUGCAAACUGCGAAUACCGAAGAAUGUUAUCACGGGAGACACACGGCGGGUGCUAACGUCCGUCGUGAAGAGGGAAACAACCCAGACCGCCAGCUAAGGUCCCAAAGUCAUGGUUAAGUGGGAAACGAAGUGGGAAGGCUCAGACAGCCAGGAUGUUGGCUUAGAAGCAGCCAUCAUUUAAAGAAAGCGUAAUAGCUCACUGGUCGAGUCGGCCCGCGCGGAAGAUGUAACGGGGCUAAACCAUGCACCGAAGCUGCGGCAGCGACACAUAGUGUUGUUGGGUAGGGGAGCGUUCUGUAAGCCUGCGAAGGUGUACUGUGAGGUAUGCUGGAGGUAUCAGAAGUGCGAAUGCUGACAUAAGUAACGAUAAUGCGGGUGAAAAACCCGCACGCCGGAAGACCAA